ensembl:lncRNA
AAUUGAUGCUAAAUGGAAAGAAAAAUAAUGCAAAAGAAAAACCCUCCUAGAACCAAUCAAUAAAUUAAAGAUGCUUGGGGAUAUAAAAUCAGCAGUUAAAUGAGGUACUAAUGAAGAUGGGAAUUUAAUGGUUGGCUGCCUCGCUGUGAAGGGGGGAGGAGAUGCAGACUGAAGAAAUACUGAAGAAAACUCUGGCUAUGAGGACCUGCUGGGCUGUCUCAUCUGUGCCCUGAAGAAAAAUAAGCCCGUAUUCUUGUUGGCAUUGAUCUCUAUAAAAGUGUACUUGAGUAACCCAGGAGCAAUCCAGCAGACCGCCUGGAAACCUUUGUAAGGAGGUGUAAGGAACUUGUAGGGUAUCCUGGAUGCUCCAGCAGGGCCGCCCCAGCAGGGUGCCAGGCCCACAUCCCGGCAGCUUUGGAGAUCCCCAAGGAUGAAGCCCCGCAGACUAUCCUGUCCCUGUGCCACUGUUGCUCAGCUCUGAUGUGUGGCAGCAGAUUUCCAUGCAAAGUGCCAGCAUCCUCUGCAUUCUGCUGCUCCGCCGCUAAACAAAGAGUGCAGUAAGCUUAUCUUAGACAAACUACAAACAGGUGCUUGCAAGCAAGAGCUUUCUCUUUUACACGGACUAAUGUUUCUGUUGUUAUGCUAAUUGUUCCUAUUCAUUCCUUAGUAAGUCUUUCUAAGUAAGCAGGGAUAAUUGUACACAAUUUAGAGAAUUACAACACAACAAAGAAAUUAUCCCUUAGGUUAAAAAGGUUAGGACAUUAAUAUCUAUGCUUUUAUGUAAAUAACAAAGCGCAACAAAAUGUGCAGUCAUUUUGUAAUAACACCCAGCUGGGGGAAUAUGGUGAGUUAUUAUGCCUUCUCUUUCCAUGCUUUCCAGCCUUACAUGUUCGGGUAAUGAUGAAGUAGAGAUGGAAUUUCUGCACCUUAUUCUAAUUACAGCAGAGGUUUUAAAACAUUAAUAGCAAUGGUGGCAUGGGCUAACUGGCUGUGUAUGUACUGAAUGUUCCACACAGUAGACUGUGCACACAUGUACACGUGUAUAGGUCUCUUUCUCUAAGUAUAUAUAUAUUUAUAUCUAUUUGUAUAAAAAAAGUCCUACACUUGUUCAUCUCUAAUUUGUUUUAAAGGUAGGAAGAGCCAAGACAGACUUUGAUUAAUGAGUAAAAAGGAAAUUCUGAUACUUUCAUUAGUAUGGUAUCUUUAUGAAGACUUACAGGCGCAUGAGCAGAACGAAUCACUCUCAGGCAUAACAGCCUCCAAGUCCCAAAGAAGUCAAUUCUGUUACAUACUAAACAUGCUGGCUCCAACUGAAGUAUUUGAGCCGGCAUUGGAUCUCAAAGCUUGUAGGACCGCUUGUGUCCUCACAGGUCAGUGCUUCAAUGCAGCAGGGACAGGAGGGGUCAGCAUGCUGUGGAGCAGAGCCUUCACUGAAGUACCACUGAGCAGGAACGAGGACAAGCUAACUAGGGCUGAAUGCAGAAGUGGUCUUGUGGCAUGAGGUAGGACACCAGAUAAAAGGUGUGAAUAUUUGAAAAUUGCAGAGCAUCUGUAUACCAGUGCUCCUGUGGUCAUGAGUUUCUUCACGCAUAUCAAGCCUCAUGCCACCAUAUCUUCACUGCCAGUGUUGCCAAGUGCGGCAGCAUUAGUGUUUUGAUAUUGCUAACAUGUAAGCGUUGCAUCUUUUGUCUACAGCCUAAACACAUGCCUUAGAUUUAACUUUCAGCUGUAUUUGGGAUGGCCUCUGGGCUGAGCCAGCCACCCUUUGUUUUGCUGCCUCAGUUCUCCUACAGUAAUGAGCAUCAAUGAGGUAGAGGGAGAAUAAUUGUAUUUUAGGAGUUGCUUGGAUGCUGUAGUGAUAGGUGUUAAGGAAAUACAGUGCUUGUAAUUUUUGAAAGUAAAUGUUGGAUAAUGUGCUAAACUGUGCCAUGAUGCAAUUAUUUUUUCUAGUUUUUAAUAUAAAU